rnacentral:rRNA from 1 species
UGGGGAAUAUUGGACAAUGGGCGAAAGCCUGAUCCAGCCAUGCCGCGUGUGUGAAGAGGGCCUUUUGGUUGUAAAGCACUUUAAGUGGGGAGGAAAAGCUUAUGGUUAAUACCCAUAAGCCCUGACGUUACCCACAGAAUAAGCACCGGCUAACUCUGUGCCAGCAGCCGCGGUAAUACAGAGGGUGCAAGCGUUAAUCGGAAUUACUGGGCGUAAAGCGCGCGUAGGUGGUUAUUUAAGUCAGAUGUGAAAGCCCCGGGCUUAACCUGGGAACUGCAUCUGAUACUGGAUAACUAGAGUAGGUGAGAGGGGAGUAGAAUUCCAGGUGUAGCGGUGAAAUGCGUAGAGAUCUGGAGGAAUACCGAUGGCGAAGGCAGCUCCCUGGCAUCAUACUGACACUGAGGUGCGAAAGCGUGGGUAGCAAACAGGAUUAGAUACCCUGGUAGUCCAUGCCGUAAACGAUGUCUACCAGUCGUUGGGUCUUUUAAAGACUUAGUGACGCAGUUAACGCAAUAAGUAGACCGCCUGGGGAGUACGGCCGCAAGGUUA